rnacentral:rRNA from 1 species
UUAUUUUGUCGCGAGAGUCACCACCAUUCUUACCUGUUGGAAGUAUUAGUGUGUUAAUAGCAUUUAGUACUUUUCACUCGUUUACUGUGAAAAAUUAGAGUGUUCAAAGCAGCCUACGCAAUGAUACAUUAGCAUGGAAUAUAGAUAGACUUUAGUCUUAUUUAUGGUAUGAGGAUGAGUAUGAUAUAGGGACAGUUGGGGGCAUUCCGUACUUCGCAGUCAGAGGUGAAAUUCUGGGAUUUGCGAAAGACGAACUACUGCGAAAGCAUUUGCCAAGGAUGUUUUCAUUAAUCAAGAACGAAAGUUAGGGGAUCGAAGACGAUCAGAUACCGUCGUAGUCUUAACCAUAAACGAUGCCGACUAGGGAUUGGUGGGUGUCAAAUUUCUGACCCCAUCAGCACCUCCAGAGAAAUCGUAAGUUUUUGGGUUCCGGGGGGAGUAUGGUCGCAAGGCUGAAACUUAAAGGAAUUGACGGAAGGGCACACCAGAAGUGGAGCCUGCGGCUUAAUUUGACUCAACACGGGGAAACUCACCAGGUCCAGACAUAGUGAGGAUUGACAGAUUGAAAGACCUUUCUUGAUUCUAUGGGUGGUGGUGCAUGGCCGUUCUUAGUUGGUGGAGUGAUCUGUCUGGUCAAUUCCGAUAACGAACGAGACCUCAGCCUGCUAAAUAGUGACGCGAACGCUUAGUUCGUGGUUACACUUCUUAGAGGGACUACUUG